rnacentral:rRNA from 1 species
UACGUAGGGUGCGAGCGUUUGUCCGGAAUUAUUGGGCGUAAAGAGCUCGUAGGCUGUUCGAUAAGUCGGGUGUGAAACCUCCAGGCUCAACCUGGAGACGCCACCCGAUACUGUCAUGACUAGAGUCCGGUAGGGGAGCGUGGAAUUCCUGGUGUAGCGGUGAAAUGCGCAGAUAUCAGGAGGAACACCAGCGGCGAAGGCGGCGCUCUGGGCCGGUACUGACGCUGAGGAGCGAAAGCGUGGGUAGCAAACAGG